rnacentral:misc_RNA from 1 species
GAAGUAAAAAGUCGUAACAAGGUUUCCGUAGGUGAACCUGCGGAAGGAUCAUUACAGUAUAUUGAAUUCACAUUCAUAUACCCACUCUGCGUACCUUAUAACUGUUGCUUCCAUGGGACCUGGCUCUGCCACGUCGGCCUCCGGGCUGGUGAGCUCCCGUGGGAGGAAAACAAUACUCCUUUUUGUUAGUGAAGUCUGUAUGAACUGUUUGUAAUAAACGUUAAAACUUUCAACAACGGAUCUCUUGGUUCUCGCAUCGAUGAAGAACGCAGCGAAAUGCGAUAAGUAGUGUGAAUUGCAGAAUUCAGUGAAUCAUCGAAUCUUUGAACGCACAUUGCGCCUCCUGGUAUUCCGGGAGGCAUGCCUGUUCGAGCGUCAUCAAAAACCUCAGUCUGAGACUUUGUCAAGGAUUGGUCAUGCUUCGGAUGCGGUUGCAUCCCCAGCGAAAUCCAAUGGCGAAGAGCCUCUAGGCCAAAGCGUAGUAUUAAUAUCUCGUUAUGGUCCGGUGUGCGCUUCUGCCGUAACCCCCCCCAUUUCUAAGUUUUUGACCUCGGAUCAGGUAGGGAUACCCGCUGAACUUAAGCAUAUCAUAAAAGCGGAGG